ensembl:lncRNA
CCGGGUCAGAAAGAUGGAGAGAGGGUCAUGGGGUUGGUAUAGCAUGUAGCUGUGUCGGGGUCAUCUGUCUAUUAGUGUGAUUUAUAUCAAACAGUUACAUCAAUGUCCAUGAAGAUGGUAUUAAUUGCUCAUCUAAAAAUCCCACCUAAUUGAAACUAUACAUGGAAGAUCUCAUUUGACUCUGUUUUGCUAUUUGUCAUAAAUGUUUUGAAAGAGGUAGAGAGUAUGGACAAUAAAAAGAGGUAGAGAGUAUGGACAAUAAAAGAGGUCGAGAGUAUGGACAAUAAAAGAGGUCGAGAGUAUGGACAAUAAAAGAGGUAGAGAGUAUGGACAAUAAAAGAGGUAGUGAGUAUGGACAAUAAAAGAGGUCGAGAGUAUGGACAAUAAAAGAGGUAGUGAGUAUGGACAAUAAAAGAGGUCGAGAGUAUGGACAAUAAAAGAGGUAGAGAGUAUGGACAAUAAAAGAGGUCGAGAGUAUGGACAAUAAAAGAGGUAGAGAGGCAUCUGGUGAAGGAACAGUAUAGAUAUAAGAAUGAGAAAGAGAGGGGCAUCGAAAACACAAGGUUUGGUGAUUGAUGAGGAGAUGAGCCAAAGAGCGUGGAAGAAAAUGGAAAAUAAGAAGAAAGGAUGGAGGAGAGGCAGAGAGAAAGCUGGAGAAGAAAAUGAAAGGAAAGGAAAUGAGAGGGAGAGCCCAAUAGAGAUAUUAAAGAAAGAAAGAAAACGUCGUUCCAGUUGAGAGGAGCGUUUUGCACUCUGGUCUUUCUUUCUUGUUCGGGUGGAGAGACCAAAUCCAAUGGUGAAUUGUGAAGGGUGGAGACACACACAGGGCAUUGUGGGGGUCACAACCUUGACUAUCGAUCCGAGCCUCCAUAAUUUCCCGGGCUUGCUGAGAUUCC